ensembl:lncRNA
CCACUAAGAUAUUCCGUCCCAGUCCCAACACCCCUCCCUCUCUCCCUCCCUCUCUCCCUCCCUCCCUCCCUCUUCUUUCCUCUCCCUGCCAACCAUUCCUAGCCUACACUUAGAAACACAUAUUACCGCUCGCUCUCCCCCGCUCUCUCUCUCCUUCUCUCUCUCUCUCUCACUCGUUCACUCCUCUCUCUCUCUCUCUCUCUCUCUCUCUCUCUCUCUCUCUGUCUCCCUCGUUCACUCCUCUCUCACCGCUAUAGCUCCAGGACUUUUCUUCUCUCCUGUGUGCUUGUGUUUUCCUGGCUGAGAAACCGGUUCUGUGCUGCUCUCUCUCUCUCUCUCUCUCCCUCUCUCUCUCUCUCGCUCUCUCUCUGUCUCUCUUUCUCCGUCUCUCUCUGUCUUUUCUCUUGCUGUGUCUCGCGCUGUUCCAGUAUCGGUGGCUGGGUUGACAGCUGGCGUCCUCUUUGAGGCCCCUUCUUUCAUUUUGUUUCAGCACAAUUUGUGCUUCAGCUUUUUCUUUUUUGAACAGUUGAUCUUUUCUGUUUUUCUCUCUCUCUCUCUCUCUCUCUCUGUCUUUCUCGCUCUCUCUGUUUCUUUCUUUUCAUGCCUCCUCCCCUUCUCUUCCCCCUCCUGACGCUGAUCCGUGGAGGAAGAGGAAGAGGAAGAGGAACAGAAAGGUGUCUCUGGGAAAGGGGGAUGAGAGGCAGAAACAGUGAGACAGAGCGUGAAAGAAAGCGAGCGAGCGAGAGAAGGAGGAGGAGGAGGAGGAGGAGGAGGAGGAGGACGGAGAGAGCCGGACCGAAUCAGAGAGAAGUGAAAAAGGGGAGAAAGAGAAGAGUUGUGAAGAAAGAAGACUGACAGAGAGCAGAGGACGACAACAGGGACAGCCGAACCGAACAAAAUCGCGGGGAAAGCGGAACAACGGGGCGAGACAAGCGGACUCAUCCGACCUCUGCUGGUGCUGCCUCAGCAGAGAUGAAGCUGAUGGACCUGCCCCCAUGUGAUUGGCCGGCCCACACCCACAUCAGCCCUGUCCUGCAGCCUCCCCCAGGUGUUCAGGUGUGGGGUUGCACCUCCACGGCCCGCUGGCCCGCUGGCCCCACGUACCCAGCCUUAGGAUUUGAAUCUUGCUUCCCCAUAAGGAAGUCUGUCUGCCUGGGUGCUAUCCAUCCCCUUCCUUCACUUUGAUGCCAUACCACGUUAGCGAACAAAAGGACCUUGCAAAAUGGCCAGAGGAUUCAUGUUUUCCUGGGCACAUGAAACAGUAGUGCAAGAAGAACCGAUUUGGUUGAUGCGGGCCUUCAAAUCUUUAAUUUUAUUUUAUUAUUUAAUAAUUUUUUUUUGGGGGGGGGGGUGGAGACAGGAUCCUGCAGGAUCUCCAUCUUCCCUUGUCCUCACAUCACCUGGACCGUUGGAGGGCGUGAGUUCAGAGUCAUCCCGGCGCACACAGAGCAGUCGACAGUCGAUUUUCAACAGGAAAAAAAGGGAAUUAUACAGGGUAUACCCAUUGGUUUUGUGAAUUAGGUUUAGGAAUGACACGACGAAAGGUUUUGUGACUAGUUUGCAUCAAGAAGACUAAAACGCGCAAGAUAAUGUCAUAGAAACUUGUCACACUGGUGCACAUUGCUGUCUUUAAAGGGAAGAUCUCGGAGCUUCUCUGCGGCAUGCUAUAUUGUGGUGAAAUGCAGUAUCUAAUUCUGCCUCCAUUGUGUCAUCCUGACACUUAGCUUUCUGUUACCAGUAAAAAUGUGUGAUGUCGCGUAUUAUUAAUAGCAUGAUGUAUAGAGACACCAUGUAGCUCAUAAGCUUCAGUUUGAUAGUACACUGCAACAUUUGUUUCUCGAAGGUUCCUCACAUCUUUUUUUUCACAGAUGUGAUAUGACAAAAGCUGACGAGAAAAAAAAACGAAAAGCCAAGAAGGAAAAAAAUCACUAACGUGUCUGAGUUUCAAAAAUUGUUUAAGACAAGCCUUUGUGUCCCAGCGUGCACCUCUGUCCCUGAGACCCUUAACCUGUGAAGUCAUAACAGGUCACAGGUGAGGUCCUCAGGAACAGGGUUUCAUGCGUUUUCACCCCAGUAGUCCUGUAGAGUUCUGCUGUACAUUCACUUCCCUGAGAUAGAGAGACCCAAAAGGUAAUCUACGGCUUUAAAACCACUCACGAAUGAAGUGUGCUGAUGACCUUUCCUAAAACUGCUGAUCUAACUAAAAAGGACCAGACCCGCAGAUUGAACGAUACGCCCUAUGAAUAUUCAUCGCAACGAUUACUAGCCUUUCAUCAGACAUUUUCCGAGCAAGGGCAGAGAGAGGGAAAACAGAGAAGAAAAGAGGGUAGGAUGCUAAAUGAAGGAGGACGAGAGACCGAGGAAGAGGAUGAGGAAGAGCAAAUUGUUCUUGACUCAAGGGGGCAUACCCUUUUGGCUGUCUUUGUUGUUCUCACCCCUGAGAGAUGUGAUGAGAAGGCAGCCAAGGCCAGUGACCCCGACACACAGUCCUCGCUGAAUGUGAUGGCUAAUGAAUGCAUCCCUCCUAUGGCAUAUAAACAGCUCUGAUAUUCUAUAUGAUGUUUCUUCUCUGGCACUACAUGAAUAAACAUGUGUUCUCACAAAAGAGUGUCCAUUAAAUAUUUCUUAUGCAAUAUUUCAUAGAAUGUGUACGUUUGUAUUUGUGUGUGUGUGUGUGUGUCUGUGUGAGAGAGAGAGAGAGAGAGAGAGAGAGAAAAGGAGAUAGAUAAUCUCUGCGUGGUGUUUAAUUCCACUGUGCAAACGAACAGGAUGAAGCCUGAAGCAUCUGUUGUGCAGAAGAAUAAAGAUGAUCUGAACGUCUGAAAGAGCUCAGAAUCCAAUCAAGGCCCACACACCCACCAACUUUAUUACAGAUUCCUCCAUUUCCUAUAUGACUCCCGAAGCUGUUAAAGAACAUUAAGAUCUCAUUAGUAAUCCAAGCACUCCGCCACAGUCCAAUGAGCCCAGCUCAUAUAUAGGGCUAUUCGGGGGG